GUGUCAGCCGCCGCGGUAAUACGGAGGGUGCGAGCGUUGUCCGGAAUCACUGGGCGUAAAGGGCGCGUAGGCGGCCGUUCAAGGGCGCGGUGAAAGCCCGGGGCUCAACCCCGGGUCGGCCGUGUCGACUGGAGGGCUCGAGCUCUGUAGGGGCGGGUGGAAUUCCGGGUGUAGCGGUGGAAUGCGUAGAGAUCCGGAAGAACACCGGUGGCGAAGGCGGCCCGCUGGGCAGGAAGGGAGAGCAAUCUUCCGGCUGACGCUGAGGCGCGACAGCGUGGGGAGCAAACAGGAUUAGAAACCCCCGUAGUCC
rnacentral:rRNA from 1 species